rnacentral:rRNA from 1 species
UACGUAGGUGGCAAGCGUUGUCCGGAAUUAUUGGGCGUAAAGCGCACGUAGGCGGCUUAGCAAGUCGGAUGUGAAAUCCCUCGGCUCAACCAAGGAAGUGCAUCCGAAACUGCUGAGCUUGAGUACGAAGAGGAUCGCGGAAUUCCGGUGUAGAGGUGAAAUUCGUAGAUAUCGGAGGAACACCAGUGGCGAAGGCGCGAUCUGGGUCGAUACUGACGCUGAGUGCGAAGCGUGGGAGCAACAGG